rnacentral:rRNA from 1 species
UACGUAGGGGGCAAGCGUUGUCCGGAUUUAUUGGGCGUAAAGCGCGUGUAGGCGGCCAUGUAGGUCUGACGUGAAAUCCCGAGGCUCAACCUCGGCGGGUCGUUGGAAACCAUAUGGCUAGAGUCCGGAAGAGGAGAGUGGAAUUCCUGGUGUAGCGGUGAAAUGCGCAGAUAUCAGGAAGAACACCGAUGGCGAAGGCAGCUCUCUGGGACGGUACUGACGCUGAGACGCGAAAGCGUGGGGAGCGAACAGGG